GUCUCUUCGGAGACAUCCGAUAAAGUUGAGUUGGAACGAUACAGAGAAAAUUAGCAUGGCCCCUGCGCAAGGAUGACACGCACAAAUCGAGAAGUGGUCCAAGCUUUU
rnacentral:snRNA from 1 species